AACAUGGCGGUACCCUAGUGGCUAGUAAUGACGACACAAAAACAUUCAGGAAAAUUACUUGCGAAGAUGAUGCUCGCCAAUUACAACAAACCUUGACAAACCUAGCCACCUGGAGCAAUACCAACAAUAUGAGGUUCAACGAGUUAAAAUGUAAAGUGUUGACUGUGUCGCGAAAGAAACAACCUGUGGACUUCACAUACCGACUGGGCUCAACCACUCUUACUCAUGUUGAAAAAGAGAAAGAUCUUGGGGUUACAAUGACAGGAAAGCUUUCAUGGGAUUCUCAUAUCCAUGAGAUCACAGCUAAAGCCAACAAGCUGCUCGGUCUAUUGAAGAGAACAUACCCUUUCCUGACUGACGUCAGCGUCCGACGUACUUUGUACCUUUCGUUGGUAAAAUCCAAUCUAUGUUAUGCCUGUGAAGUUUGGUCCCCAUACAUCUGCUGACAGAAGACAAAGAUAGAGCGUGUGCAGAGACGAGCCACUAGAUGGAUAUUGAAAGCUAGAAAAGGUGAUUCCAGCUGCAAUGAGCGUCUCGUUGAUCUGAACUUACUACCUUUGUGUUAUGAUAGAGAGAUAAAAGAUCUAAUGUUCUUCUACAAGGCUCUUUACGGUAUUUCCGAUCUCAAUGUCCAUGACUAUGUCUCGUUUGUAACCCAUAACCACUCCCGUCUAUGUCGUAAUCCCAACCUGUUGCUCAAGACUCCAUUGUGUAAAACCACAACAUAGCAGAACUCAUAUUUCAACCGGAUCGUGAAAUUAUGGAACAGUGUUUGUAAAGUAGCUCCACCAAAUACAUUUUCUAGUGUCAAAACAUUUAAAUACUAGCUACCUCUUUAAUUAUUAUUCUAUGUUAGUAUCGACCGUAUUCGAUGUAAACUUGUUAUGUACUUGGUCUAUGUCACGUGACUGUUCUUGUCAUAGGAGUUAAUGGGUACGAGGUUGUUAAUUGUCUUGUUGUAUAAACUUGUUAUUAGUAUUUACAUAGUAAACUAUAUUUACAUGUAUUCUGUUGGAAAGGUGCCUUGCAUGGAUAGCGCAAAUUAUUUACGUUCCGUUCGCACCUCUUCCAUUUGGGUAAUAUUUGUUCUUCGCAUGCAUAGUAUUAGUACGUAUUUUGUAAAUAAUUAUUAUAUUUACCCAAUAAAGUAUUUAAA